UUAACUAAAAUUUGUAUGGAGUUGGAACGUUUGCCUACGUUUACCGCUAGGGGCGCUGUUCCAACUGCAUACAAAAUUGAGUUA
rnacentral:pre_miRNA from 1 species